rnacentral:rRNA from 1 species
UGAGCAAUCUGCCCUUCUCAUCGGAAUAAGCGUUGGAAACGACGUCUAAUGCCGAAUACGACCUCCUUUCGCAUGAUCGGAGGUGGAAAGCUCCGGCGGAGAAGGAUGAGCUCGCGGCCUAUCAGCUAGUUGGUGUGGGUAACGGCCCACCAAGGCGACGACGGGUAGCCGGCCUGAGCGGGUGACCGGCCACACUGGGACUGAGACACGGCCCAGACUCCUACGGGAGCAG